ACACAAACGUGUCCCCUACCCCCAACCAAAGAACUCACAUGGCAAGGGCUCAAAACAUAACAACAGCCCAUUCCCAUUAGCCUGGACAAUCCUAUUAACCAGGGCAACCAUAAAUUCAUAAAUCUCUACAACCCCGGGGCAUGCAUUGUGGUCUGGAACUGCACAGACACACACAGACACAGAGGAAAUUUGCACCUGUCUUUCUUGACACAACACACCUGUCAGGCCCUGCUCACGCGCAUUCUGCUAACAGACCUCUGCCUACCUAGUUUAGGAAAGGGAUUUUUUUUUAUGGGAGGGCAUAGGUGAGAGAGAGAGAGAGAGAGAGAGAGAGAGAGAGAGAGAGAGAGAGAGAGAGAGAGAGAGAGAGAGAGAGAGAGAGAACACGAGAAGAAAACUUCUAGCCUUGACUUUGAGAGAAGGCCAUCCUGUACGCGGUCUGUUUUUUUAAGCUCAAGGAGACAACACAGACCUUCUUGGAAAAAAAAUUAAAACAAGCAGGUGAGUUCCCAGCCUCCCCCCAGGCAGAGUAGGGCUCGGGACUGCCAAGAACAGCAGCACUUUCACACUCCUACCUGCCUCCUUGGGCUAUUUAAGGAGACUGACUGCCUAAACCUGCCUUCUCCUUUUUCCCCACCGGCCUGGAGGACUCAACUUCCAAAGAGCUGAAAGGGGGCGGGAGACCUCCAGUCUCUCAAAACCGACUCCCCCAUCGCAAAUCCACACUCUCUCCAGCGGCUUCAGCUUGAGCAGGAGGAGUAACUGGCUGCCACAGCCCUAGGACCAACAACUCGCUAAACUGGACUUUGGCUGUUGACUUUUACAUCAGUAAAAUUGUUCAUGUGAGCUUCACGAUUGGUGCUGAGUCAAUGGAACCUAUUAGUCUACAAAUGUGUGCUCUACACACGUGAGCUGACAGAUGGAAGCCUUUCCUACAGAAGCUGCCCAUCUGACCCAUGAACCCACAGGACAAAACAUUCUAUUCAAGGAGGGAACAGCAAGAAGGAAAAGAAGGUCAACAUUCCUAGAGGCAACCAUUCUUUGCUUUCAAUAGGACAGAAGAGCUCCUUGGCACUGAAGCCCUCCUGGUCUGUGAGGGAGGAAGGAGGGAUGUUCUGGGGAUACACAGGCAUCAGCCAAAACUUCCUUCAUUCAGAUGAGGAAAGAGCUUGGGCUGGGGCUUCUGAUGCUCGUUACCUAAGGAUUGUUCUGACCGAGUGAAUCAUAGAAGGUCAGCUACGCUGAAGAACUUCCCAAAGUUCCCUUUCCACUUUGCCCAUUUUUAUCCCCGUGGAGGACCCUUAGGUUUGUUAGAUUCUUAUUUCAACUCCUCUACAUAUUACUAAUUCCUAGAUAUGUGAUCCUAUAAUUCAGCACCUCUGUGCUUCAGUUUCUCCAAGAAAAAAUAAAAAGGGGGGGAUGAUAAUAAUAAAUAAUACUUAUCUCUGAGGAUUGCUGUGAAAAUCCCAUGGAUUCUAAAUCCAUGUAAAGGGUUGAGAACAGUGCUUGGCAUACAAGUGCUCAAAAAAUGUGGGUAAUUAUUAUUGUUGUGAUUAAUUUCUGUGGGAAUUUGCAUGCUUUUCUUAUUUUCUGCUGAUGGGCCCUGUCCUACUCCCUAUGCUGACUCUUUGGGUAGUUUUUAUGGAACUAGACUGGCGAUCGAGUGGCUAAACUACAGGUUUUGCAGUCAAAUAGAGUCAAGCUAGAGUUCUUAAAGUAACAUUCAGUAGAUAUAUAUCAUCAACAAGUAACUUAAUUUUCCCAGCCUCAGUUUCUUUAUCUAUACAACAGGGAUGGUAAUAACAAUAUUUGCCUUACAACAUUUUUGAGAGGGUUAAAUGAGACAGUGCUUGCACAAUGCUUGCAAGUAUAUAAAACAUGCUAUGUGUUGUUAUCAUUUUUGCUCUUACACUAAAAAAUGUCUUUAGAAGCCUGUCAAGGCUCCAGGGUUCUGGCUUCAUGUCAACUCCUCCACCAGAAAAGAGGGCAAACACAGAAAUAGAAAUAUGCUGUGAGGCUGUGACUUCAUGGGGACUCUUUGACAACUAAUGACACAAAAUUGAGAGUAUUGAGUCUUGCUCAACAUGGAUUUCAAUUAAAGUUAGAAAACUCACAGUUCUAAGCAGGUCAGUCUCACUAGGGGUUAUCCCAAAGGACAAGAACUAUUGAGAUAGGAACUAAAGCCUAUUUUUCUGUCCUAAAGCCCCCCAAAUAAAGCAUAGGGUAAGUAGGUUCUGGAAGAAACAGUUACUUGUGCUGCUUACCUCUCAUGAAGGAAUGUGGCAUAAUGCACAUUAUACAAUAGAAUGAUCAAGUUUCACAUCUUCAAACAUGUAUGUUGAUUUCUUCCCUCAAAAUGAACAUGGAUGGAAGUGGCACCUGUGAGUGGAAGUAAACCCCCUGCAUACUAUGAUCAUGCUAUCGGACAGUUGAAAACUGUCUAAAUCAUGUUUUCCUGCCUCAUUCGUCACUGAUGACUGGCCAGUAUGAAGGGAACAAAGAGAACACAACUGAACACUUGAAGCUUUUACCCCAAAGCCAACAGGGUACCUGAAAAAAAAUAGAAGAGCAUGGAACAAGUAUAUAAAGCAUCCACAAUCUUGCAGAUAUUUUGUUUGCCCUCUUAGAUUUGUUUUAACCUCCUCUUUCACUGAUUAUUACUUAUAAAGUAAGAAUCAGAUGGGGUUUGGUUUGGAAGGAAAAGGGGCAGAGAUGACUUUUUUUUUUUUUUUUCAAUUCUGACAAGAUGACAACCCCAUUUUUUUUCUCUUGACCUCAUGCUUAGAAAUGGCUCAGAAAGUGGAAUGCUAUGAUUAAAGAUCAUUAACAGUGAUGUAAGAGAGGAAAGUUAAGAUCAAACAAGAGACAAAAGAAAGUACAUGUCAAAAAAGAAGAAAGCCCUAGCUGGUUUGGCUCAGUGGAUAGAGCAUCCGCCUAUGGACUUAAGGUUUGGGUUUGAUUCCAAUCAAGGGAACGUACCUCCAUUGCAGGCUCGAUCCCCACCCGGGUGGGGGCGUGUGUGGGAACUAACCAAUCAAUGUGCCUCUCUCACAUUGAUGUUUCUAUCUGUGUCUCCCU